GUCCUUUCGUGGUUCAUACGUCUGAUGACUGGGUUUUCAUUCUGUUGAGUAAAAUUUGCCUCCCUUGUGUCUUGUUACAGCACAGUUAACCAUCUACA